GCCCUCGGCCUACUCCCAGAGCGACAAGCCAGUUUCAAGGGAUCGAUGGCUCUCACGACUCUCAUGGUACGCUCCGAGAGCCAUGUUUUCUGCAGGGAAUCCCAACGUCACAGGAUGGCCACAUGGAACACUCCAGUACUUCUGUGCCAUCCGGUUACAUCAGAGGAAAGGAGGAUACAGGAAGCUUGGAGAUGCCAAGUGGACAGAUCGCAUAAUGUUUGGGCCAUAAAGACCGGAGGUGGUGACUGUGAACGCGGACAGUUGCCUGAUCUCCAUGCGUCCUUUCUUCGUCUGCCGCUGAUGAACACGUAGAGUCUUUCCACACCGCGGCUGGUGCUGCAGAGGGAUAGGACAGAUUGAAAAAUUCUCUAUCGUGUGUGUACACACGGAACUAGCUUUUAGAAUCAUCAGUUUUACAAUCAGCCCACAAUUUUUCCUGACUUUCUGUCCUUUACAGAAACUUAGUGAAUGUUUAUUGCCCUGACUGGAGGAGCUGGAUCCUGGUCAUGGGCCCAGUCCUUCCCUGUAAAGUACAAUUGGAGAGAAGAGAGAAAUAUAAUAGACCUGACAGAAUU